rnacentral:lncRNA from 1 species
AAAAACUUAGACUUUUAGAAAGAUAAAUUUGGAAACAAAUGACUGAUCAUUCCUAACACAAAAAGCAAAAUGUUUGGUUAUCGGUACUCGAGGUCUCAGGUUCGAAGCUUAAUUGCUUCACAUUUUCAACUAAGUUUAUUUUUAAAAAAUAAAUGAAACGGAUAGUAUGCUACCUUUUUCUCUCACAAAAAAAUCGGUACAAAUAUAUAUAUAUUUUUUUGAGAGAUAGGUAGCACGCUAUUCAUUUCGUUUAUUUCAUUUAGAAAUAAAUUUAGCUGGAAAACAAGCCCUUUGUCACUUGUUCUAGGAACGGUCGGUAAAUCGGUACAAAUGUUAUUGAGGAGUACAUGUGAAAUAGGUUUGUGCUGAGAGAAAUGUUGGCAACUAACUGCCCCUAGUAUUUAUACAGUAAUAAAAACAAGAGAGUCCAGCUACUAUCCUUUUAGAAAGACGGAAAUCUUAGUUCUCCGAAAUCGUUUUAGAUGAUAAAGAUUUCGAAUCGAUGAUCUAAAGUAUUUAUAAUAUCUAAAAACUAAAUUUCAUACAUUUUAAAAUUUGUUAUCAAGUUCAUUAAAGAGUCGAAAAAUGAACGGUCAAAAAUAAAUAAUUUUGUGAAAGUAGAUGUUAAACUCUUUCAAUUUAUGAUUGGAGUUAUCAAAUAUUAUCUAAAUAAUAU